UACGUAGGGUCCGAGCGUUAAUCGGAAUUGCUGGGCGUAAAGCGUGCGCAGGCGGUUCGCAAAGACAGGUGUGAAAUCCCCGGGCUUAACCUGGGAACUGCGCUUGUAACUACGUGGCUGGAGUGUGGCAGAGGAAGGUGGAAUUCCAGGUGUAGCGGUGAAAUGCGUAGAGAUCUGGAGGAACACCGAUGGCGAAGGCAGCCUUCUGGGCCAACACUGACGCUCAUGCACGAAAGCGUGGGGAGCAAACAGG
rnacentral:rRNA from 1 species